CAGCAGUGAUCACAAUGUCUCCUUUCAUGCACACGUUUGGCUUUCUCUUCCUCUGCUUUCCAACUCUGGUCACCAGCAUCAUAUUUCAUCAAAGUCUUCCUCAGAUUGUGAACGUGAGCUCUAAGGUCCGCAUCACAUGCAGCCACGAUGACGGGUCCCGCCUUGUGAUGCUCUGGUACCAGCAAAGGACAGGCAGCCAGUCUAUGACCCUCAUUGGGUUUAGAUAUGGCACAGGAGACCCGACCUACGAGGGUCAAUAUAAAGAAGAAUUUAAGCUGGAAAGAGAAGACAACUUAAAAGGAGCUCUGGUUAUUCCCACAGCAAACCUGUCACACGCUUGUAUAGGAAUUUCUUUUACUUAUGUAUUAAUCACAUUAUUUUAUUGUAUAAUGCCUUGGUGCCACUGGAUUUUAACAUGUCUCACACUCAUACAGUAAGACAAACGGUGGGGGUCUAGUAAGGAAGUUGGGGGGAAGCAGACAA